UUGGUCAUUUAGAGGAAGUAAAAGUCGUAACAAGGUCUCCGUUGGUGAACCAGCGGAGGGAUCAUUACCGAGUUUACAACUCCCAAACCCCUGUGAACAUACCAAUUGUUGCCUCGGCGGAUCAGCCCGCUCCCGGUAAAACGGGACGGCCCGCCAGAGGACCCCUAAACUCUGUUUCUAUAUGUAACUUCUGAGUAAAACCAUAAAUAAAUCAAAACUUUCAACAACGGAUCUCUUGGUUCUGGCAUCGAUGAAGAACGCAGCAAAAUGCGAUAAGUAAUGUGAAUUGCAGAAUUCAGUGAAUCAUCGAAUCUUUGAACGCACAUUGCGCCCGCCAGUAUUCUGGCGGGCAUGCCUGUUCGAGCGUCAUUUCAACCCUCAAGCUCAGCUUGGUGUUGGGACUCGCGGUAACCCGCGUUCCCCAAAUCGAUUGGCGGUCACGUCGAGCUUCCAUAGCGUAGUAAUCAUACACCUCGUUACUGGUAAUCGUCGCGGCCACGCCGUUAAACCCCAACUUCUGAAUGUUGACCUCGGAUCAGGUAGGAAUACCCGCUGAACUUAAGCAUAUCAAUAAG
rnacentral:rRNA from 1 species